rnacentral:rRNA from 1 species
GCUAAACCAUGCACCGAAGCUGCGGCAGCGACACUAUGUGUUGUUGGGUAGGGGAGCGUUCUGUAAGCCUGCGAAGGUGACCUGUGAGGGUUGCUGGAGGUAUCAGAAGUGCGAAUGCUGACAUAAGUAACGAUAAAGCGGGUGAAAAGCCCGCUCGCCGGAAGACCAAGGGUUCCUGUCCAACGUUAAUCGGGGCAGGGUGAGUCGACCCCUAAGGCGAGGCCGAAAGGCGUAGUCGAUGGGAAACAGGUUAAUAUUCCUGUACUUGGUGUUACUGCGAAGGGGGGACGGAGAAGGCUAUGUUAGCCGGGCGACGGUUGUCCCGGUUUAAGCAUGUAGGCUGGUUAUCCAGGCAAAUCCGGAUAAUCAAGGCUGAGGUGUGAUGACGAGGCACUACGG